rnacentral:rRNA from 1 species
UACGUAGGAGGCAAGCGUUGUCCGGAAUUACUGGGCGUAAAGCGCGUGUAGGUGGUGGGACAAGUCUGCUGUGAAAGCGCCUGGCUUAACCGGGCGAGGUCGGCGGAAACUGUCGCACUCGAGGACGGUAGAGGGGGGUGGAAUUCCCGGUGUAGUGGUGAAAUGCGUAGAGAUCGGGAGGAACACCUGUGGCGAAAGCGGCUCACUGGACCACAACUGACGCUGAUGCGCGAAAGCUAGGGGAGCAAACAGGG